rnacentral:rRNA from 1 species
GACGUAGGGCGCGAGCGUUGUCCGGAUUUAUUGGGCGUAAAGAGCUCGUAGGCGGCUCGUUGCGUCGGCUGUGAAAACCCGCAGCUCAACUGUGGGCUUGCAGCCGAUACGGGCGGGCUGGAGUUCGGUAGGGGAGACUGGAAUUCCUGGUGUAGCGGUGAAAUGCGCAGAUAUCAGGAGGAACACCGGUGGCGAAGGCGGGUCUCUGGGCCGAUACUGACGCUGAGGCGCGAAAGCUAGGGGAGCGAACGGG